GACGAACGCUGGCGGCGUGCUUAACACAUGCAAGUCGAACGGAAAGGCCCUGCUUUUGUGGGGUGCUCGAGUGGCGAACGGGUGAGUAACACGUGAGUAACCUGCCCUUGACUUUGGGAUAACUUCAGGAAACUGGGGCUAAUACCGGAUAGGAGCUCCUGCUGCAUGGUGGGGGUUGGAAAGUUUCGGCGGUUGGGGAUGGACUCGCGGCUUAUCGGCUUGUUGGUGGGGUAGUGGCUUACCAAGGCUUUGACGGGUAGCCGGCAUGAGAGGGUGACCGGCCACAUGACGACUGCGAGACGGCCCAGACUCGUACGGUAGGCAGCAGUGGGGAAUAUGGCACAAUGAGCGGAAGUCUGAUGCAGCAACCCCGCGUGCGUGAUGACGUCCUUCGGGGUGUAAACCGCUUUCGCCUGUGACGAAGCGUGAGUGACGGUAAUGGGUAAAGAAGCACCGGCUAACUACGUG
rnacentral:rRNA from 1 species